AACAUCAGCGCCCUGAAGGCAGGCGCCAGCUCUGUGCUGCUCACCCUUUAGUCCCCAGAGCCCAGCACAGAUCUGCCGCUUUGAAGUGCGUCCUGGGAGUGAAUGGAAGGAUGGAGUUUUAGCUGCAACUCUUUCACGAUCAGACUGGGAAACCUUGGCUCUAUCUCCUAAUUUUCCGUUGCCACCGUUUUCCUCUUAUGACAGAGGUGGGCCCAAAUAUCUCUGCUUCCAAUCUCUCCGGACCUCUGAGGAGAGACGGUAGUUCUUCGCUGUGGUGUUAUGAGGCUCUGACUCGUUGUUUAGACCACUGGAAAGCCUUGGUUUCUUCUGACGUUGGGGCUGUUCGUCGUUGCAGACUUUGUUCUGUGCAGAUCUGCACACCAAGUUGUGCCUGAUCUGCACGGGGCCUGGCAGAGGAGCCGGCCUGAAACCCAGCGUUACUGGUACCUUAGUCAAGCCCUGUGCCUGCAGGACCCUGCGCUGUCCCCAGGCUCCAUCUCCUGGGGCACAGCCUUGGAACCAACACAAAGCCAGCACAGCCCUGCCUGUGGGUCUCUUUCCUCAGAGCCCCAAAGACAGGCUUCUCUGCCAUCUUGUGUGCCUUUUCAGCAGUUAGAUUUUCCCUUUUCCGAUGUCUGAAGAAGGGAAGUCUGCUUUCUCUCCUCACCCUGCUACUCUCUGCUCCCUCUGUGGGCUCUGGGGCACGGUGCCAAUCUGUAAAUGGUGUUUAGUUCUUUCUUUGUUGUUGUUUUGGAGCUGUGAAGCUGUGCUGUUAAGGCCAGGUGCUGAAAAAUUAAAACUUAUCAUCAGUUGCCAUCAUCAAAGCAAGGUGGGGUAGGAUGGUUUCAACUAGUCCCAAAUUUCCUGAAGGAAUUUGGCCUCUCGUCAAUUCCCCUCUCCUGAGGCUGACGGUACUGGGAGAAGGAAGUUCUCCCUAGCUGCCCAGCAGCCUCGGGUUUGCUCAGUUAAACCUCAUGCAAUGGGCUUAGUGCUGAGCACAAGAAAGGAACCAACAUUUCUCGACUGAUAAUACAUUACUUGUUUCUUGCAACUGGACUGUGGGACUCUAAGAAUAGUACAUUUUUUUCUGGAAGCAGAGUUUUAACAACCUAGAAAGCUUAAUUAAGCUUUCCUGCUGCACUUUUUUUUAAUUGAGUUAGUAGCAGGAGAGUAUUUUUAGAACUGAAGGAAUGAUUUUGUGUAACAGAUACACGUCUCAAUAUUCUUAAACCUCCAUAGAGAGCAAAACAUAGCUAACGAAUUGACUUGGCAAAUCUUAAAGAAUGGUUGUUUUUAUACACGUUAUCACUGUCAUAUCUAUUUAUUCUAUUCCUUCAUUAUUUAUACCCUGCAUUUCUUCUUCCUAAGUACAAGGUGGGGUGGGGUUAGGAGGAGAAUUUUUAAAAACACUUUACAAACCUGGCGAGCAUUGAAUGUUUUUUCAAUUCCCUCUGAUUUUGCUGGUCUGGGUGGGCUCCUUUCCUAGAUUUCAGUUUCAUUUGGAUUUUUUUUUCUUUUAUUGAGAGUAACAGGAUAUCACUUACAGGUGAAUGCUUUGCAUGUUACUUCGAAUAGUAAAAAUAACAUUAAAAAGUUGUGUUCUGAGGAAGCUGCAGGUUAAAAAAGAAAGCAGCCAUUUAGCUAAAACUAUGAAGUGUGCAGUGUCUCAGCAACUUAUGGUGGCAAAUUACCAGAUGGCAUGUUUUCAAAUGAAGGCUCUAGCUAGAUUAGAUCUUUAAGACCCUAGUGAAAAACAUGAUGCAAAAGUGGUCCAAAUGAAAUGCUCAGAUUUUUCUAGAAGAUUCUUUGUAUACAAGUAGAAUAAAGUGACUUUAAUAUUGGUAAUGUGGAAAAUGCAGUUUGCAAAUUAUAGACACUAUAGUGCCUGGUUAAGAUCACUAAAAUACUUGUAUUCAAAUCAUGGGAAUCAUCUAAUAGAAAUAGAGUAACUGAUCUGAAGUAGAAAUUAUCCCCAUUUGCACAAAUUAUCUAGAAGUUUGGCAAAGGGGCUGAGAAGGUGCCUGUGAGAAACCUGAGGGUAAGGUGGGGCAGGGCAUGCUGAACGCUAUUUGAGGAAUUUUCUACAUCCUCUGAGAUGAGUUUGCCAAUUCCGAUGCAUCAGUGAGAUCCACGCAAAGAUAAGGGGCUGGGCAGGACUGUCCCAAAGGAAGGUGGCGUGUGAAGACAAAUCCUUGAGGUGGCCACAGGCACAGGCAAAAAUCAAGUUAUUUCUUGCUUUCUUUUUGAUAUUUGUGGUAUCAGAUGCUCUUUAAUCUCACAUUUCCAUGUUUACCUUUAGAGUGAGUUUCGGUAUUUCCCCAUGUCUCUUCCUCUGCCAAGCACUGCAAAUCCAGGGACCUUCUGUAAAGGAUCGUGAGCCAUUUCUUCUGAGACUGUAUAUUAUCUCAUUCAGUUAGGGCUUGUCUAAAGGCCUGCAAAACCUCAGGCUUCUCUUGAUCUUCAAAUAGUCACGUAGCUUAGCCUCCUACAGGGUAGACAGAGAUGUGCUCACCUUCAGUCUGGGUUCUUCAGAAGAACCACAACCACCAUGGCCAUCAAGACAAGGCCACGCGCCCCCAGCCCGUAGGCAGUCUCGGCUGCUGAGAGGAUACAUAUCAUUAAAGGAAAGAGGAUGGAAAGAAAACACAGGUACUGGUCAAAUCAGGCUCGUUUCUGUUUUAAGCAAUGCCGUCUUCCUGAAGCAGUGGUACUUUUCAGCAUUUUCCCCCUUGUCUUUUCUCCUUACUCUGAUCUCUUUACUCUUCACACUUCCUAAGUCUGCAGAGCUCCUCAGCAACUUGGAUGGGAGCCAUGAAGACUCCCCCAAGGGUGCGGUUUGCUCCUCUGCGGCUGACUCACGCCCUCCUGCUGUUCCCCUCAUCUUCUCGAUGCCGUUUUCUCGUUUUCUCACUGGCAGUAAUGCAGCUCUUUCUGUGAGCUGCUCCUUUUAAAGCUAGAUUCCAUCUCUUAUUUUUGCUGUGACCCCAGACGAUUAUGCUAACUAUAA
rnacentral:lncRNA from 1 species